GAUGAACGCUGGCGGCGUGCCUAAUACAUGCAAGUAGAACGCUGAAGGAGGAGCUUGCUCUUCUGGAUGAGUUGCGAACGGGUGAGUGACGCGUAGGUAACCUGCCUGGUAGCGGGGGAUAACUAUUGGAAACGAUAGCUAAUACCGCAUGACAACAGUUAUUGCAUGAUAACUGUUUAAAAGGGGCAACUGCUCCACUACCAGAUGGACCUGCGUUGUAUUAGCUAGUUGGUGAGGUAACGGCUCACCAAGGCGACGAUACAUAGCCGACCUGAGAGGGUGAUCGGCCACACUGGGACUGAGACACGGCCCAGACUCCUACGGGAGGCAGCAGUAGGGAAUCUUCGGCAAUGGACGGAAGUCUGACCGAGCAACGCCGCGUGAGUGAAGAAGGUUUUCGGAUCGUAAAGCUCUGUUGUAAGAGAAGAACGAGUGUGAGAGUGGAAAGUUCACACUGUGACGGUAUCUUACCAGAAAGGGACGGCUAACUACGUG
rnacentral:rRNA from 1 species